rnacentral:rRNA from 1 species
AGUGAACGCUGGCGGUAGGCCUAACAUAUGCAAGUCGAACGGCAGCACAGUAAGAGCUUGCUCUUACGGGUGGCGAGUGGCGGACGGGUGAGGAAUACAUCGGAAUCUACUUUUUCGUGGGGGAUAACGUAGGGAAACUUACGCUAAUACCGCAUACGACCUACGGGUGAAAGCAGGGGAUCUUCGGACCUUGCGCGAUUGAAUGAGCCGAUGUCGGAUUAGCUAGUUGGCGGGGUAAAGGCCCACCAAGGCGACGACCCGUAGCUGGUCUGAGAGGAUGAUCAGCCACACUGGAACUGAGACACGGUCCAGACUCCUACGGGAGGCAGCAGUGGGGAAUAUUGGACAAUGGGCGCAAGCCUGAUCCAGCCAUACCGCGUGGGUGAAGAAGGCCUUCGGGUUGUAAAGCCCUUUUGUUGGGAAAGAAAAGCAGCAGGUUAAUACCCCGCUGUUCUGACGGUACCCAAAGAAUAAGCACCGGCUAACUUCGUG